rnacentral:rRNA from 1 species
ACGCUCGACAGUGCCAGCCGCCGCGGUAAUACGAAGGGGGCUAGCGUUGCUCGGAAUUACUGGGCGUAAAGGGAGCGUAGGCUGACAUUUAAGUCAGGGGUGAAAUCCCAGAGCUCAACUCUGGAACUGCCUUUGAUACUGGAUGUCUUGAGUGUGAGAGAGGUAUGUGGAACUCCGAGUGUAGAGGUGAAAUUCGUAGAUAUUCGGAAGAACACCAGUGGCGAAGGCGACAUACUGGCUCAUUACUGACGCUGAGGCUCGAAAGCGUGGGGAGCAAACAGGAUUAGAUACCCUGGUAGUCCACGCCGUAAACGAUGAUUGCUAGUUGUCGGGGAGUUUACUUCUCGGUGACGCAGCUAACGCAUUAAGCAAUCCGCCUGGGGAGUACGGUCGCAAGAUUAAAACUCAAAUGAAUUGACGGG